rnacentral:rRNA from 1 species
UGGGGAAUCUUGGACAAUGGGCGCAAGCCUGAUCCAGCCAUGCCGCGUGAGUGAAGAAGGCCUUCGGGUUGUAAAGCUCUUUUACCAGGGACGAUAAUGACGGUACCUGGAGAAUAAGCCCCGGCAAACUUCGUGCCAGCAGCCGCGGUAAUACGAAGGGGGCUAGCGUUGUUCGGAAUUACUGGGCGUAAAGCGCACGUAGGCGGAUUGUUAAGUCAGAGGUGAAAUCCCGGAGCUCAACUUCGGAACUGCCUUUGAUACUGGCAAUCUAGAGUCCGGAAGAGGUUAGUGGAAUUCCCAGUGUAGAGGUGAAAUUCGUAGAUAUUGGGAAGAACACCAGUGGCGAAGGCGGCUAACUGGUCCGGUACUGACGCUGAGGUGCGAAAGCGUGGGGAGCAAACAGGAUUAGAUACC